CAAAAAAACAAUUAAACAAAAAAAUAUUAAAAUGGAGAAAAUGUACGUAGUUUGCAUUAUUUAUUGCUCGCUAUUACUAUUCGUUACUUUCGUUUUAAUACUAGUCGUUGCCCUACAGACUAGUUUUUACAUGGAUUAUGAAGUCCCUACUACAACAACUUGUUCGGACAAAGACUGAAGAUCCACGAAUUGUAUCCGUUUAAAAUUUGAAAAAGAUGAUAUCGUUUUUGCCGAUUGACAUUGUAAUAUCCCUUGAGUUAUAAUGAGUUAAAGCAUAUAUAUGUUCAAUAAAACAACUACUAGAAGC